UACGUAGGUGUCAAGCGUUGUCCGGAUUUAUUGGGCGUAAAGAGCUCGUAGGCGGCUUGUCGCGUCGGCUGUGAAAACCCGCGGCUCAACUGUGGGCGGGCAGCUGAUACGGGCAGGCUGGAGUACUGCAGGGGAGACUGGAAUUCCUGGUGUAGCGGUGGAAUGCGCAGAUAUCAGGAGGAACACCGGUGGCGAAGGCGGGUCUCUGGGCAGUAACUGACGCUGAGGAGCGAAAGCGUGGGGAGCGAACAGG
rnacentral:rRNA from 1 species